ACUAGUCGCACGAUUAGUACGAGAUUAGUACCAUGAUUUCUUGUAGAAUAAUAAUGCGGAACCUCUUUUCUUAUCCUCGUUCAUAUCCAUUUUGAGGAUUCGGAUUCUUACUCAAAUUUGUACUGAUAUAGUACAAAUUCACCUCCUCAAGCCUUAUCUUGAAUUGAAUUUCCUGUAAGAGACCCCCAAAACCCUCUCCCACAUCGACUGAAUCCAAAAAUUGGGUCCUAUUUAUUUCCUAUAUAUACUCACUCCAUUGUUCUAAUAUUGAGAGGUUGAACGUUAGGGGGAUUAUCGAAGAGCAAGUGGUGAUUCUAACAAGUCUCAUAAUCACGGUUUGUUGCUCUAGAAAAGGUUCCCCCAGCGUCUUGGUGUUUCUUUUUCUAAUGAUUCCUCAAUGGUAUGAGAGGGGUGGAAGUGAAAGAGUUUCCGCUAUAGCUCAAUUUCAUUUUUCAGCUUAUGCAUCCAAAUGAACUUCUUUUCUUGUAUUACCCAAUGGGCUUGUGAAGCCCAAAUCUUGGUCGAGUCAACCAAGGAUCCAAAAGGUUCAAAUCAGAAGAAUCCAGAAGAAAUGUGGAGUCUAAGUACUGCAUAUAGGUGAAAGUACAGGUUAAGGACAGAGCAGAAUGUUAAAAUGGGCUCAACCCACUUCAAUUUGAUAGUCCAGUCGUAGGGGGUUCUGCCUAAAUGCCUAAAUUCGCUUUCUUCCUAUCUCUUAUUUGUAUAAUUUAAAAUUAUUUAUAUAGAUGUUAGUUUUUAUUUAACUUAGUGGAAAUCCCUUAUAGAAUUGUCAUGUUUUGCAAAUAAUUUUACGAAUUAGCUUACUAUUUGA